rnacentral:lncRNA from 1 species
CAUACGUGGUAUUUACGACGAUUUCUCAUACGUGGUCUUUACGACGAUUUGUGCUUACGUGGAAUUAACGAGUGUUAUGUUUAAAUCCCUAGAAUCAGAAACCCCAAACCCCAUAUUCCUUUUUUCUACUUCACAUAUUCCAAACCCCAUCUUUAUUUCUAUUUCAAACCACAAUUCCCACAUUUGCUUAUUCAUAAAACAAACUCCCAC